GGAUGAGGGAUGGGACGCAUCCCCGGGGGAUGCUCCUCCAAAGCUUUUAUCGGGCGAGCGCAGUGGCUCACGCCUGUAAUUCCUGCACUUUGGGAGGCUAAGGGUCUCACUCUAUUGUCUAGGCUCGAAUGCAGUGACGUGAUCAUGGAUCACUGCAGUCCUCAACUUACUGGGCUCAGGAUGAAAGGCUUCCUAGCACAAACACCACCCCUGGAGUUCCCGGUACAUCAAUACCAGCCUGGGGAUCACGUUCUCAUCAAGAGUUGGAAGAGGGAAAGCUUGAACCAGCUUAGGAGGACCUCAUCUGGUACUCUUGAUGAAUGAAACAGCAAUCUGAAUGGCUGAAAAAGGAUGGACCCAGCACUCCAGAGUCUCACACUGUCACCAGGCUGGAGUGCCGUGGCGCAAUAUCAGCUCACUGUAACCUCCACCUCCCAGGUUGAAGUGAUUCUCCCAUCUCAGCCCCCAAGUAGCUGGGACUACAGGUGAGUGCCACCACACCCAGCUAAUUUUUGUAUUUUUAGUAGAGAUGGGGGUUCACCAUGUUGCCCAAAAUGGUCUCAAUCUCUUGGCCUCGUGAUCCAACCAUCUCAGCCUCCCAAAGUGCUGGGUUUAAAGGCAUGAGCCACUGUGCCUGGCCCAGAAUUCUUUACUGCUAACACGAGUGGGCCUGGUUCUGGAGGAUUUCCCAGUGGGUCCUGAAGAACCACAGUUUAUUGGCUUGUGGGCAAAGGGGUAUGUGUAUCAGUUGGCCUUUACUGUGUAAUAAACAGCCACAAAAAUUA
ensembl:lncRNA ZNF561-AS1 ZNF561 antisense RNA 1 (head to head)